AAGAGUACCUGGGCGGGUAGGAUAAACCCUAACCGUUCCAAACACUCCACCCUUUGUUUACAUUAUCUUUGUUGCUUUGGCAGGCCCGCACUCGUGCCGCUGGCUUCGGCUGGUCAGCGCCUGCCAGAGGAUUCAAAACUCUUGUCAAUCAUGUCGUCUGAGUAAUAUAUAAUAGUUA
rnacentral:misc_RNA from 2 species